rnacentral:rRNA from 1 species
CCAAUAGCGUAUAUUAAAGUUGUUGCAGUUAAAAAGCUCGUAGUUGAAUUUCGGGGUCAGUAGGUUGGCCAUGCCACAGGUAUGUACUGGUCUCACUGAUUCCUCCUUCCUGAUGAACUGUAAUGCCAUUAAUUUGGUGUUGCAGGGAAUCUGGACUGUUACUUUGAAAAAAUUAGAGUGUUUAAAGCAGGCUAACGCCUGAAUACAUUAGCAUGGAAUAAUGAAAUAGGACGUUCGAUCCUAUUUUGUUGGUUUCUAGGAUUGACGUAAUGAUUAAUAGGGAUAGUUGGGGGCAUUAGUAUUCAAUUGUCAGAGGUGAAAUUCUUGGAUUUAUUGAAGACUAACUACUGCGAAAGCAUUUGCCAAGGAUGUUUUCAUUAAUCAAGAACGAAAGUUAGGGGAUCGAAGACGAUCAGAUACCGUCGUAGUCUUAACCAUAAACUAUGCCGACUAGGGAUCGGAUGAUGUUAAUUUUUUAAUGACUCAUUCGGCGCCUUACG